CGUGUAGGCGGUCAGGUAAGUGGAAUGUGAAAUGCCCCGGCUCACCCGGGGCCGGCAUCCCAAACUGCCUGGCUUGAGUAUGGGAGAGGAUGGAGGAAUUCCUGGUGUAGCGGUGAAAUGCGUAGAUAUCAGGAGGAACACCGGUGGCGAAGGCGUCCAUCUGGCCCAAUACUGACGCUGAGGCGCGAAAGCUAGGGGAGCAAACG
rnacentral:rRNA from 1 species